rnacentral:ncRNA from 1 species
UUUUAUAAGAAUAUGAUGUUGGUUCAGAUUAAGCGCUAAAUAAGGACAUGACACAUGCGAAUCAUACGUUUAUUAUUGAUAAUAUAAUAAAUAUGUGGUGUAAACGUGAGUAAUUUUAUUAGGAAUUAAUGAACUAUAGAAUAAGCUAAAUACUUAAUAUAUUAUUAUAUAAAAAUAAUUUAUAUAAUAAAAAGGAUAUAUAUAUAAUAUAUAUUUAUCUAUAGUCAAGCCAAUAAUGGUUUAGGUAGUAGGUUUAUUAAGAGUUAAACCUAGCCAACGAUCCAUAAUCGAUAAUGAAAGUUAGAACGAUCACGUUGACUCUGAAAUAUAGUCAAUAUCUAUAAGAUACAGCAGUGAGGAAUAUUGGACAAUGAUCGAAAGAUUGAUCCAGUUACUUAUUAGGAUGAUAUAUAAAAAUAUUUUAUUUUAUUUAUAAAUAUUAAAUAUUUAUAAUAAUAAUAAUAAUAUAUAUAUAUAUAUAAAUUGAUUAAAAAUAAAAUCCAUAAAUAAUUAAAAUAAUGAUAUUAAUUACCAUAUAUAUUUUUAUAUGGAUAUAUAUAUUAAUAAUAAUAUUAAUUUUAUUAUUAUUAAUAAUAUAUUUUAAUAGUCCUGACUAAUAUUUGUGCCAGCAGUCGCGGUAACACAAAGAGGGCGAGCGUUAAUCAUAAUGGUUUAAAGGAUCCGUAGAAUGAAUUAUAUAUUAUAAUUUAGAGUUAAUAAAAUUAAUUAAAGAAUUAUAAUAGUAAAGAUGAAAUAAUAAUAAUAAUUAUAAGACUAAUAUAUGUGAAAAUAUUAAUUAAAUAUUAACUGACAUUGAGGGAUUAAAACUAGAGUAGCGAAACGGAUUCGAUACCCGUGUAGUUCUAGUAGUAAACUAUGAAUACAAUUAUUUAUAAUAUAUAUUAUAUAUAAAUAAUAAAUGAAAAUGAAAGUAUUCCACCUGAAGAGUACGUUAGCAAUAAUGAAACUCAAAACAAUAGACGGUUACAGACUUAAGCAGUGGAGCAUGUUAUUUAAUUCGAUAAUCCACGACUAACCUUACCAUAUUUUGAAUAUUAUAAUAAUUAUUAUAAUUAUUAUAUUACAGGCGUUACAUUGUUGUCUUUAGUUCGUGCUGCAAAGUUUUAGAUUAAGUUCAUAAACGAACAAAAUCUCCAUAUAUAUAAUUUUAAUUAUAUAUAAUUUUAUAUUAUUUAUUAAUAUAAAGAAAGGAAUUAAGACAAAUCAUAAUGAUCCUUAUAAUAUGGGUAAUAGACGUGCUAUAAUAAAAUGAUAAUAAAAUUAUAUAAAAUAUAUUUAAUUAUAUUUAAUUAAUAAUAUAAAACAUUUUAAUUUUUAAUAUAUUUUUUUAUUAUAUAUUAAUAUGAAUUAUAAUCUGAAAUUCGAUUAUAUGAAAAAAGAAUUGCUAGUAAUACGUAAAUUAGUAUGUUACGGUGAAUAUUCUAACUGUUUCGCACUAAUCACUCAUCACGCGUUGAAACAUAUUAUUAUCUUAUUAUUUAUAUAAUAUUUUUUAAUAAAUAUUAAUAAUUAUUAAUUUAUAUUUAUUUAUAUCAGAAAUAAUAUGAAUUAAUGCGAAGUUGAAAUACAGUUACCGUAGGGGAAGGGGUUCGGUCCCCCUCCCGU